ACCAGCUGACGAGUCCCAAAUAGGACGAAACACGCGUCCUGGAU
rnacentral:hammerhead_ribozyme from 1 species